rnacentral:lncRNA from 1 species
AUCUUGAAUACUUAAUGAUGACCUAAAAUUUAACUGUCAAUCCUAGAUAAGUCAUCCACAUCAUAUUUCAAUCUUUCAAAUCUAUCAUAUAGAUUAUCUGGGUCUAGAUUUUACUAAAUUGAAAUACACUGAUGCAUUAACUUCUACUUAUUUGGAGGGGUCAAUCCCUUUUUGACUCAUACACUAACUUAACAAGUACAAGACUGCACCUAAAAAUCUUUCAAUCAUUGAAUUAAAAAUUAAGAUAGUCUGACAUCAAAGUACAGUGAGUUACUUGCAAGUCACCAUGGUGAUCUU